GAUGAACGCUAGCGGGAGGCUUAACACAUGCAAGUCGAGGGGCAGCAUAGAGUAGCAAUACUUUGAUGGCGACCGGCGCACGGGUGAGUAACGCGUAUGUAACCUACCCUGUACAGGGGGAUAGCCCGGAGAAGUUCGGAUUAAUACCCCAUAAUGAUAUCGAGAGGCAUCUUUUGAUAUUUAAAGCUUCGGCGGGACUGGAUGGGCAUGCGUGACAUUAGCUAGUUGGUAAGGUAACGGCUUACCAAGGCUGCGAUGUCUAGGGGUCCUGAGAAGGGGAUCCCCCACACUGGUACUGAGGCACGGACCAGACUCCUACGGGAGGCAGCAGUGAGGAAUAUUGGUCAAUGGGCGUAAGCCUGAACCAGCCAUCCCGCGUGAAGGAAGAAGGCGCUAUGCGUCGUAAACUUCUUUUCCAGAGGAAUAAAAUUUUGUACGCGUACAGAACUGAAGGUACUCUGGGAAUAAGCAUCGGCUAACUCCGUGCCAGCCGCCGCAGUAACAC
rnacentral:rRNA from 1 species